GGGCCCAUAGCUCAACUGGUAGAGCCACCGGCUCAUAACCGGUCGGUCNNUCGAACCCAGGUGGGCCCACCA
rnacentral:tRNA from 1 species